rnacentral:tRNA from 1 species
UAUAGAAUGGUGUUUUAGCACAGAAGACUUUGAAUCUUCAAGAUUUGGCUUUAUACCAUAAUCUAUAA